rnacentral:hammerhead_ribozyme from 1 species
AUCCAGCUGACGAGUCCCAAAUAGAACGAACUGCGCAUCCUGAAU